rnacentral:rRNA from 1 species
CUACGGGUGGCACCAGUGGGGAAUUUUGCGCAAUGGGCGGAAGCCUGACGCAGCAAUACCGCGUGAGUGAAGAAGGCCUUUGGGUCGUAAAGCUCUUUUCUGAAGGAAGAUAGUGACGGUACUUCAGGAAUAAGCACCGGCUAACUCCGUGCCAGCAGCCGCGGUAAUACGGAGGGUGCAAGCGUUGUUCGGAUUUACUGGGCGUAAAGGGCACGUAGGCGGCACAGCAAGUUAAGGGUGAAAUCUCGGGGCUCAACUCCGGAACUGCUCUUAAAACUGCUGAGCUAGAGAUAGUCAGAGGCGGGUGGAAUUCCUGGUGUAGAGGUGAAAUUCGUAGAUAUCAGGAGGAACACCGGUGGCGAAGGCGGCCCGCUGGGGCUAUUCUGACGCUAAGGUGCGAAAGCGUGGGGAGCGAACGGGAUUAGAUACCCGUGUAGUC